rnacentral:rRNA from 1 species
UACGUGUAAGGCAAGCGUUAGGCGGAAUCACUGGGCUUAAAGCGUGUGUAGGCGGGCCCGUAAGUGUCUUGUGAAAUCCCACGGCUCAACCGUGGAACUGCUGGGCAUACUGCGGGUCUUGGGCCAACUAGGGGCAGCCGGAACAAGCGGUGGAGCGGUGAAAUGCGUAGAUAUCAUUUGGAACGCCAAUGGUGAAAACAGGUUGCUGGGGGUGUGCUGACGCUGAGACACGAAAGCCAGGGGAGCGAACGGG